rnacentral:rRNA from 1 species
UACGAAGGGGGCUAGCGUUGCUCGGAAUCACUGGGCGUAAAGCGCACGUAGGCGGCUUCUUAAGUCAGGGGUGAAAUCCUGGAGCUCAACUCCAGAACUGCCUUUGAUACUGAGGAGCUUGGAGUCCGGAAGAGGUGAGUGGAACUGCGAGUGUAGAGGUGAAAUUCGUAGAUAUUCGCAAGAACACCCGUGGCGCAAGCGACCACCUGGCCGAGACCUGACGCUGAGGCACGAGAGCGUGGGGAGCGAACCGG